CCCCCGGAAGCCUCGCCGGAGACUCUUGCGCGCGCAGUUUUUUAUGGACCGGGAAGCGGACAGUGCGGACUGGAGGUGGCACUGCCCAGAGUGUUUCUCGUUUGUAGUGUAAAUCUGUGCUGCGCGGUCCCGCUGACUCCACCCUCAGGGUCUUAGGAGUCACUAUGGACCUUAACUCCCAGCAGCCGGCCCUCCGACCCAGUAAACCCAGACAUCGCCGUUACAGGUCGGAAUCGACCUCUAAAGCCUCCUAUUGCUUGAGGAAGAAGCCCGGAAGAGGAGGGAGAGGAAAGAAAAGGAGUCAGAAAUGGCUCUUUCUCAGGGCCUGUCAUCUCCACUUAGAUCCUAUCUCCCCAUGACCCAGUGACCUGGAACUUGUGAGGAGUCCCCACUGGGCAGGGCUUCACAUCCAUGGAUUGGAGACGUGGUGUCAGUGCUACUGGGCAGCAAGAAUUUCUUAGGGCGCCAUCAGGAUGCACUGUCUGCUCUCUGUAAACCAGGAUAAAGAAGCUGCAAAUGGAAGUGAUGGUAUUAAUAUGCACAAUACCUGGCACCGUUGACCUUCAAGGAUGUGGCCGUAGAAUUCACUCAGGAGUGGGAACGCCUGGACCCUGCUCAGAGGGCCUUGUACAGGGACGUGAUGGAGGAGACCUCCGGGAGCCUGCUCUCUGUGGGGGAAAGACAGAGUCCAGAAAAGAUCAUUUCCCAUCCCUGGCCGUAUGGAAUAGGGACCUGAGAACAUGUGCUCAGCAAAACUGCACAUUUGCUGUGGACCAAAGACCACUGGGUACCUCCUUUUUCUUCAAUAAAUGGAGGUCAGUGUCUCUACGGACCGAAGGCAAAAAGUUGGGGCCGGUACCUGCGUCAGAACGAUUUUAACCGGAACCGGACCCAGACUCCCAGGGCCGAACCGAGUCUUCUGGCGACGCCGCGACAGGCGAAAGGGGCGGACUCAGAGCGAGAGAGACGACCGCCUUCAGGGGUUUUAAUUUGCUGGGACACCCUCGAAACCCAGGUAUGGAGAAGCGGGGCUUGGAGAUCGCAUAGCGCACUUACGAACCAAAGAACCGACUCACUCACCCGCCGGCGCCAGUCUGACCGCAGGAUCCGCUUCCGCGUCCCUAGGUAAUUGCGCGUGCGCAUGCGCACCACCGGGCCAGGGGGCGGAGCCGCCUAGGGGCGCAUCUCGGACGCUCCGGAGGGUGGAGGCCUUGUCUCUGGUGGAGCCGCCCUGCGGACGCCGGGUCUAGCCCUCGGACCCGCUCCUAGGAGAUUCUGGUCUGUUCCUCUUCUCUCCUGAGAGGCUCUGCUUCUCUACUUCGGAUCCUUUGAACGUGUCUGGUGCCCUCUGGACCCAGGUUAGAUGCAGAGCAGUUACAACUUAUUUCAAUUAAGCGACAGCCUGAGUUUUAGAGUAGGUGAUGGAAACUGGAGUGUGACAGGAAAUGCAAAAUUGUGCCUGUGCGGAAUGUGCAAUUUUAUACUUACUUCCCUUCAGAGCAUAACUUUUUCUUGUGUUCCCCAUUCACUUGGAGGCAUCAAAUAUCAGAAUUUCCCUGUGGCCUGGUGGUUAGGAUUCUGGACUUUCACUGCCCGGCGGGUUUCAGUCUCUGGUCGGGGAACUGAGAUCCCGCAAGCCAGGCAGCACGGAAAAAAAAAUCAGAGGAAAAUUUUCAACCCCAAAUGUGUCAUUGUAUGAGGGACUCCUUUGGAGACUGUGAGCAAGGAGUUGGCUGCACUCAGGUGCUUAAGAAUCAAGCCUUAUUAAAUAAUUCAACCAUAUUUUAAUUAUUUUUUACUCUUUGACCUUUGUCUGACUAUAGGAUGUGACAAAUAAAACCAUUUCUUGUCAUUCUGAUAGGAAUUUCCAUUUCCCGAAUACUAGCAUCUCCACUGUAGGUUUUGCUACUUAUUAACUUUUGUUACGCACUUUGGCAUAUUUCUGAAUUUUUAACUUCAUUGAUCUACCAGUCAUGAAUAAACAGGUCUACGGAUAGCCACUCUUUUUUGCUUCUCUUUUGUGGCUAUUCUUACUUGUUCUUUAUUCUGUAAGAUUUUCUCGAUAACAUUGCUAGCUUCAGAACUGAGUGUCUAUAUCGGGAACAGGUUAAGUUUAUAAAUUAGCUUAAGGAGAAUUGCCCUUGUUAUAAUACUGAAUUUUUUACCCAGGAAUGUGAUGUGAUUUUCCAUUUGUUUAUAUCCGCUUUCAUAUAUUUCAGGAAUGUUUUAUAGUUUCUUCACAUAGGUUUAAAAAGUUUGUUAGAUUUACUCCCAAUUAGUUUAUUUCAUUUCUGGUUACGCUUUUCUAAUUAAAGUUUCUUGCACUAUAACUUGUAAAAUGAUUCUUUUUUGCACCUAUGAAAGCUACUGUUUUUGUAUAUUUAUAUGAUCUUCCUGACUUAUCUUUUGUAGGUUUUCUAUCAAUUCCUUUGUGUUUCCAGAUGUAUGAUUGCAUGAUCUGCAAACAUAGUUUUAUAUUUUUCUUUCCCAUUCUCAUGCCAUUUUAAAUCGCCCUGGCUAAACCUCCAACACAUGAGAAAUGAAUUGAACAGGUGAUCAUAUGCUUUUUUUAGUGUGGUUUUCUAACCUUAGUGGAAUAACUCUAGUGCUUCCCAAAGAGCAAGAUAAUCACUUCAUUUUGACAUGUUAGAAAAAAUGCAUCAAUUCCCACUGUUGAGUUUAAGUUAACGUAAGUACAAGUUCAAUUCUUCCAAAUAGAUGUUUUUGUAACUAUGAGUAAGAUCCCCUGAUUUCUCUUUAUACCCACUACUACGAUGUACUAUAUUAAUGGAUUUCCUAACACUGAAUCAUGCUUGAAUUCCAGACAUAAAAUUCAGUCAUCUAUUAUUUUGCUAUAUUUUAUUUUAAAUAUUGCCAUCUGUACACAGGUGUGAGAUCUUUCCAUAGUAUUCUUUUUGGUACAAACUUUAGGACAUUUGAGUAUCAGCAUUUUAUUUGAUUUAUGUAAACUAUUUGGAAAUUGUACUUCCUCUUUAAGGCUUGAAUUGAGUACAUAGCAUUGGCUUAUCUGUUCUCUAAAAGAAUGGAAGAAUCUACCUGCUAAUCUGACCCUGGUGCUUUUAUUUGUAUAGGACUCAUAAAACUCUCCCUUACCUCUAUGGAUAUUCAUUUGUUUAGACUCCUAUUUCUACUGGAGUCAAUACCGGUAGAAUAUAUUUUCGUAGAAAAUGUCCAUUUCAUCUAGGCUUCACAGUUGAUUUGUAUUGAUUUGGAGAAAUGGGGCAAAUAUUGUCUAAUCUCAAUUAUUGACUCACUAUCUUUCUUUUGUGCUAAUUAAAAAUUCACUGAACUUACUGAAAAAUUUAAAAAUUGAAAGUCCUUGAUUGUGUGAUUCCAUUUCUUUGCCCAUAAAUGGUGGUAUUUCAGGGGUCCUCAGAGAUUUCAGACAGCGUUAGAUUUGGGGUAAAGGAAAUUCUCAGGGAGGCAGGGAAUCCACUGAGACACAUGUGCUUCUCUGUGGGUCUUCCAUGG